rnacentral:rRNA from 1 species
GAUGAACGCUGGCGGCGUGCUUAACACAUGCAAGUCGAACGGAAAGGCCAGUGCUUGCACUGGUACUCGAGUGGCGAACGGGUGAGUAACACGUGGGUGAUCUGCCCUGCACUUCGGGAUAAGCCUGGGAAACUGGGUCUAAUACCGGAUAGGACAAUGGUUUGGAUGCCGUUGUGGAAAGUUUUUUCGGUGUGGGAUGAGCUCGCGGCCUAUCAGCUUGUUGGUGGGGUAAUGGCCUACCAAGGCGUCGACGGGUAGCCGGCCUGAGAGGGUGUACGGCCACAUUGGGACUGAGAUACGGCCCAGACUCCUACGGGAGGCAGCAGUGGGGAAUAUUGCACAAUGGGCGCAAGCCUGAUGCAGCGACGCCGAGUGGGGGAUGACGGCCUUCGGGUUGUAAACUCCUUUCGCUAGGGACGAAGCGUAUUUGUGACGGUACCUGGAGAAGAAGCACCGGCUAACUACGUG